rnacentral:rRNA from 1 species
CCUACGGGGGGCAGCAGUGGGGAAUAUUGAACAAUGGGGGCAACCCUGAUCCAGCCAUGCCGCGUGUGUGAAGAAGGCCCUCGGGUUGUAAAGCACUUUCAGUGAGGAAGAACGCCUGGUGGUUAAUACCCAUCAGGAAAGACAUCACUCACAGAAGAAGCACCGGCUAACUCCGUGCCAGCAGCCGCGGUAAUACGGAGGGUGCGAGCGUUAAUCGGAAUUACUGGGCGUAAAGCGCGCGUAGGUGGCUUGAUAAGCCGGUUGUGAAAGCCCCGGGCUCAACCUGGGAACGGCAUCCGGAACUGUCAAGCUAGAGUGCAGGAGAGGAAGGUAGAAUUCCCGGUGUAGCGGUGAAAUGCGUAGAGAUCGGGAGGAAUACCAGUGGCGAAGGCGGCCUUCUGGACUGACACUGACACUGAGGUGCGAAAGCGUGGGUAGCAAACAGGAUUAGAUACCCCUGUAGUC